CGGAGGAUGGAGUUUCAGGUUUUGUUUUUGUUUCCCUUUCAGCUGCCACUACGGGUGUAGUUCGGAGUCUUGCACGAAGCAGGCUUACUGUAUUUAUGCAGACAUUCCUAAAACCGAUGCUCUACCUUGAGGGAAAUAGGUAUUUCCUUUGAGUUGAAUGUCAGAGGCAUUUUCGUACUCUAGUGAAGGAAGUUCAGUAUCUGUAAAACAAUUACUAAUAUUUCUCAAUCGGGAGCCUGCCCUUUUAUAUAGCAUUGAAUGGCUGGAAUUUGGCUGAACUCGUUUAGAAUUCAUAGAUAUGUAAUUUCAGCACUUUGGGCUCCAAAGACUUCAAGAAGAUGACACCUGUUCACCACACUCUUGCCUAGAAGACAGUCAAAUAUUUGCCUAGAUGCACAGACACCAGCGGGAACCAGUGUGGAACACUCACCACCUAGCUUUUGCUAACAGCAUGCCUUGCUCCUGAGUUCUCCUGAAGACUGUCCCAUCCAACUUGCCUCACUCCAAAGGCCUCCCUCCAAAGUGAUACCACAAGGGCCUCAUUGCACAGCCUCAACAGGGGUCAGCGCCACUCCGAUGUGACUCGUGCCCCGGGGAGAGGAGGAGAUAACCACACACACAGUAGUUCAAUGGCAGCCCCAGCAAGGGGCAGCAGGCAGACAUCUGCCUGCCUGCCCCACCCGCCAACAGAAACCUUAUAGGGUGGGGACAGCACAAAGAGAACCCAGUAGUUUAGGGUCACUGCAGCCACCACAGAAGACUGGGGACAGACAUCUGCUCUGACUCAUGACCUUGCCCACCAAUGAAAGCCUCUUGGGGACAACAGAAGCAGAAAACCCUGUAGUUUGAUGCAGUCACAGUUCCAGCAAGUGGGCUGAAGGCAAACAUCUGGUCUGACCUAAGCCAAGCCCAGAGUGGCCCCAGACUGGCACCGUAACAGCACAGGGACCAAACCCUGAUGACAACAACUGGCCUAAAGGCAAAUGUGGCUCAACCACAACAGUAGGGUGCAUGCAACACACAUAGGAGACACCCCUGAAACACCAGGUUCUAGUGAGGAGGGGACAUUGCACUACAGGGCAUUUCAGGAUCUUUUCAUAAGGCCACUUCUUUCAAGAUCAGGAGACAGAGCUUACUUUAAUACAUAGAAGCAGAGUUAGGAAUUAUGUCCCAAAUGAAACAACAGGACAAAAAAGAGAAUUUAAUGUAAUUGUCAUAAAGAUACUCACUGGACUUAAAGAUCUCCAUGUGACCUUCAACAAAGACAGAAAAUAUAAAAAAGAGGGGCACCUGGGUGUCUCAGUCGGU